UGUGGGCAGUGUUUACUUCAUGUCUGCUUUGCUGGCGGGCCAAGUAGCAACAGCUGCAGUCGGCGUGUUCUCUGAAGCGAGAAAGAAGAAAUUCCGUGGAUAGGGAGCCAGCCAGGUUUCCUGCAGAGAUUCACGGGAAGCUUUUGAGCAGGGGAGUCAGAAGAUGAGCGGGCUCUGGGAUGUCUUGGUCUUACUGUUUCCCUGCCAAACCCGGUGCCAUCUCGUCAUGAUCACCCACUGGAGAAGAGAGGAGAUUCUCACAGUAGACGAGGAGCCUGUUUUUCAGCUAGCUGCUGCAAGGAGCUGGACAUUUCUCCCUUCAAAUAGGACCUGGAAGGCCUGGAAGCAUCUGGAGAAGGGCAUGGCUGUGAGUAGAGAAACAGAGGAUACAGGCUAAAGCAGGAGGAAGCGAGAGGACUCACGGAAAGCCUUGCUGCACUCUCCAAAAGAGCUGCCCUUUUCACGUGAAGAGCUAUGUGAUCGGAUCCCCGGUUUGGCAGAGUAGACAUGCGAGAAGACUGAACGUUUCAUCGUUGAAACCUCUUAAAGGUGGAAUGUGUGGCAGAAAGAACGUCUGAGAAGCUCACGCGAUUUGCAGAAGGAACAUUUGUAGAAGAUUCCCUGUUUUCCGAAGGAAUGUCAAGUUCCAAAGAAGAACGUCCGAGAAGAUUCAGUGUUUGGCAGAAGAAACCUCUGUCAGACGUGAACGUGUGACAGAAGGGCCAUCCAGGAAGAUUGCACACUGGGCAGAAAGAAGACUUAAGAACAUUGCAUGGACAGCAGAAGGAGUGCUUCGGGAGAUUGCCUGGUGGGCGCCAGGAACACCUGAGAUGAUGUCAUGGCAAACAGUGGAAAUGAGAGAAAGAUGAUGGAGCUGCUAAACCUUGCCCAUUUUGAUCUGUUAUGUGAGACUUGCCUUUCGCCUUCUGUCAUGAUUGUGAAGUGUCCCCAGCCAUGUGGAACUGACACAUAUUGCUUGUCUCUGAACUUCUCAGCUGCCUGCAGAUCUUCCUGUUUUUCAGCUGCAGUUAGGGUUUGUCUGAGGAGAAGCAUAACAUCCCUCCAGGCCAAAUGCUCCACAAAUAAAUGUGUUGAAUGAAUGAACAAAUGAAUAAGCGAAGUGAAUGGAACAUCAAACUGCAUAAAAAUAUAUUUAUUCAUAAAUGAGAGGUGAUGAUUGCCAACAUAUCAUAAUCAGACUCUGACCUUGGUUACUUAUGAGUUUGACAACGAAGAGGAAAGAGGAUCAGGGUCGGCUUUGUUGCCCACUUGGAGUGUAGUGGCACAACCUUGGCUCACUGCAACCUUCUCCUGAAGUACAUAUUAGCUCACCUGGGCUCAAGUGAUCCUCCCACCUCAGUCUUUUGAGUAUCUGGGAUUAUUGGCAUGUGCCACCAAGCCUUGCUAAUUUUUGUAUUUUUUGUAGACACAGGAUUUUGCCACGUUGGCCAGAUUUGUCUUGAACUCCUAAGCUCCAGUGAUCCACCCACCUUGGCCUCCCAAAGUGCUAGGAUUACACGUGUCACCAUCGUGGCCAACCAGCAAGCUCUCUUUUAAUGAUUCAGAGUCUCAGGCCAUAGCAGUAUAAGUAUCAAAACAUCUAUUCCCAACUUGGAGUUGAGAUUUCUAAUACGAAUUCUAUUUUCUCCAUAAUCAUAAAAUAGCAUCAGGAAAAGUCUCUUGACAUCUUAAAAUACAUAUCACUGGAAAGUAGAUCUUUUUGUCCUUCAGAUAAACAUACUGUAAAAUUUGAAAUGAAAAUUAUUCUUUGUACCACCAUUCUGAUUUUACCCAGGGUUAACACAAAAGUUAUAGCAGUACAUGAAGCUCUGAGGCUUCAAUGGGUGUAGAUAUAGACAUCCAAACCUAUAAUUUUACAUUAAUCAGAAUACUAUUCAUAUAAAUCACAAAUGGCAAAACCAUUUCUGAAGGUAUUUGGUUUUAUAGAUUAUAAAAUUAAACUUCCUUAUAAUUGUGUCCAAACUGAAAUAUGCUUCCUGUACAAAAAAGCUUUCUUCUAACAGUAAAGGCCUCCUCCCAACCCACCCGACACAUACACACACACACACACACACACACACACACACACACACACACGAAGAGAGAGAGAGAAUUUAGAGCACUGAUCUUUUCUCUCUUAGACUAAUUAUUUUAACAUUAUUUUCAGCCACUUUAUUAAUUGUGGGGUUAAGGGUAGGAUAGAUCUAAUGCCCAUUUCACAUGUGUUGCAACAUCAGAGAUUAUGGUUUUCAUUAAAAACAUCAGAGCUAAAUUCCUUUUCAAAAAAGACAUUGUUACUGUUAGUACCUUGGGGAAUGUUGUAGUCUUAUGAAUGCUGAUACGUUUAUUUGAGCCAAUUGAAUAUUAUCUCUAAUAUAAACUAUAAUUUACUGUGUGAUUCCUCUUCCUGUUUUACCUAUAUAUACUCAAAGUGAAUGAUUGUGUUUAGUGAACAUUUCUUUAGGUAAUAAAAAUUAAUUUCAUUUAAGAAAGAAGUACAAAAUAGUUAUUAGAGCAAACUUUGGUAUUUGUAAUUUUGAAGUUACAUACUUUUGAAAUAAACUUGGGCUUUCAUGCCAUGUUGGGUUUGAGGAAGAUAGCAAAUGUAUAAAUUGAGCUCUCUAGUCAUAACCUUGCUAUAUGUAUUCCUGCUCAUUAAAAUACUUUGCGCCAGCAAAAAUGAUUUCCAACAUAUGUGUUUUGGAUGUAAUUAAGUAACUGUAUAAAACUAAGUAUGUUUUUUCUCCUUUCCCCAGUGACUGGAAAACUUUCAUACUUUUAAGGUAAUAAUAAAAUAAUAAUCUUUAAAGAGC
rnacentral:lncRNA from 1 species